rnacentral:rRNA from 1 species
CCAGCAGCCGCGGUAAUACGUAGGGUGCAAGCGUUGUCCGGAUUUAUUGGGCGUAAAGAGCUCGUAGGCGGUUAGUCACGUCGGAUGUGAAAACCCAGUGCUUAACACUGGGCCUGCAUUCGAUACGGGCUGCCUAGAGUGUUGUAGGGGAGACUGGAACUCCUGGUGUAGCGGUGAAAUGCGCAGAUAUCAGGAAGAACACCGGUGGCGAAGGCGGGUCUCUGGGCAACUACUGACGCUGAGGAGCGAAAGCGUGGGGAGCAAACAGGAUUAGAUACCCUGGUAGUCCACGCCGUAAACGGUGGGCGCUAGGUGUGGGGAACAUUCCACGUUCUCCGUGCCGCAGCUAACGCAUUAAGCGCCCCGCCUGGGGAGUACGGCCGCAAGGCUAAAGCUCAAAGGAAUUGACGGGGGCCCGCACAAGCGGCGGAGCCAUGCGGCUUAAUUCGAUGCAACGCGAAGAAACCUUACCUAGGCUUGACAGUUGGGGAAAUCUGGCAGAGAUGCCAGGUCCGUAAGGGCCCCAAAACAGGUGGUGCAGGCUGUCGUCAGCUCGUGUCGUGAGAUGUUGGGUUAAGUCCCGCAACGAGCGCAACCCUCGUCGUAUGUUGCCAGCGGAUAAUGCCGGGGACUCAUACGAGACUGCCGGGGUCAACUCGGAGGAAGGUGGGGACGACGUCAAGUCAUCAUGCCCCUUAUGUCUAGGGCUGCACGCAUGCUACAAUGGCCGGUACAGAGGGCUGCGAAACCGCGAGGUGGAGCGAAUCCCAAAAAGCCGGUCUCAGUUCGGAUUGGGGUCUGCAACUCGACCCCAUGAAGUCGGAGUCGCUAGUAAUCGCAGAUCAGCAACGCUGCGGUGAAUACGUUCCCGGGCCUUGUACACACCGCCCGUCACGUCACGAAAGUCGGCAACACCCGAAGCCGGUGGCCUAACCCUUGUGGGAGGAGCCGUCGAAGGUGGGGCUGGUGAUUGGGACGAAGUCGUAACAAGGUAGCCGAU